rnacentral:rRNA from 1 species
CGCGUAGGCUGUUGAGUAAGUCAAAUGUGUAAUCCCCGGGCUUAACCUGGGAACUGCAUUCGAUACUGCUUAACUAGAGUAUGGUAGAGGGAAGUGGAAUUCCGGGUGUAGCGGUGAAAUGCGUAGAUAUCCGGAGGAACACCAGUGGCGAAGGCGACUUCCUGGGCCAAUACUGACGCUGAGGUGCGAAAGCGUGGGGAGCAAACA